rnacentral:rRNA from 1 species
AACGAACGCUGGCGGCAGGCCUAACACAUGCAAGUCGAACGCGUCCUUCGGGACGAGUGGCAGACGGGUGAGUAACGCGUGGGAACGUACCCUUUGGUUCGGAACAACAGCGGGAAACUGCUGCUAAUACCGGAUAAGCCCUUCGGGGAAAGAUUUAUCGCCAGAGGAUCGGCCCGCGUUAGAUUAGCUUGUUGGUGAGGUAAUGGCUCACCAAGGCUACGAUCUAUAGCUGGUCUGAGAGGAUGAUCAGCCACACUGGGACUGAGACACGGCCCAGACUCUUACGGGAGGCAGCAGUGGGGAAUCUUGGACAAUGGGCGAAAGCCUGAUCCAGCCAUGCCGCGUGAAUGAUGAAGGCCCUAGGGUUGUAAAAUUCUUUCGACGGGGAAGGAUAAUGACGGUACCCGUAGAAGAAGCUCCGGCUAACUUCGUGCCAGCAGCCGCGGUAAU